AACAUCUAAGUACCCCGAGGAAAAGAAAUCAACCGAGAUUCCGAAAGUAGCGGCGAGCGAAAUUGGACUAGCCCUUAAGCUUUACACGCGUUAGACGAACGGUCUGGAAAGUCCGACGAUACAGGGUGAUAGUCCCGUAGUUGACGACGUGUGUUCAGUGAAAUCGAGUAGGGCGGGACACGUGAUAUCCUGUCUGAAUAUGGGGGGACCAUCCUCCAAGGCUAAAUACUACUGACUGACCGAUAGUGAACCAGUACCGUGAGGGAAAGGCGAAAAGAACCCCUGUGAGGGGAGUGAAAUAGAACCUGAAACCGUGUACGUACAAGCAGUAGGAGCAGGCUUUGUCCUGUGACUGCGUACCUUUUGUAUAAUGGGUCAGCGACUUAUAUUCAGUGGCAAGGUUAACCAUCUAGGGGAGCCGUAGGGAAACCGAGUCUUAACUGGGCGUUCAGUCUCUGGAUAUAGACCCGAAACCAGGUGAUCUAGCCAUGGGCAGGUUGAAGGUUGAGUAACAUCAACUGGAGGACCGAACCGACUAAUGUUGAAAAAUUAGCGGAUGACUUGUGGCUAGGGGUGAAAGGCCAAUCAAACCUGGAGAUAGCUGGUUCUCCCCGAAAGCUAUUUAGGUAGCGCCUCGGACGAAUACUACUGGGGGUAGAGCACUGUUAAGGCUAGGGGGUCAUCCCGACUUACCAACCCUUUGCAAACUCCGAAUACCAGUAAGUACUAUCCGGGAGACACACGGCGGGUGCUAACGUCCGUCGUGGAGAGGGAAACAACCCAGACCGCCAGCUAAGGUCCCAAAUUACUACUAAGUGGGAAACGAUGUGGGAAGGCUCAGACAGCCAGGAUGUUGGCUUAGAAGCAGCCAUCAUUUAAAGAAAGCGUAAUAGCUCACUGGUCGAGUCGGCCUGCGCGGAAGAUGUAACGGGGCUAAGUAGUAAACCGAAGCUGCGGCAAUGUGCUUUUGCACAUUGGGUAGGGGAGCGUUCUGUAAGCGGUUGAAGGUGUGUGGUAACGCAUGCUGGACGUAUCAGAAGUGCGAAUGCUGACAUGAGUAACGAUAAAGGGGGUGAAAAACCUCCUCGCCGGAAGACCAAGGGUUCCUGUCCAACGUUAAUCGGGGCAGGGUAAGUCGACCCCUAAGGCGAGGCCGAAAGGCGUAGUCGAUGGGAAACGGGUUAAUAUUCCCGUACUUCUUACAAUUGCGAUGGGGGGACGGAGAAGGCUAGGUGGGCCUGGCGACGGUUGUC
rnacentral:rRNA from 1 species